rnacentral:rRNA from 1 species
GUCUACGGCCCCCUGAACAAGCCCGACCCUGUCUGAUCUCAGAAGCUAAGCACGGUUGGGCUUGGUUAGUACUUGGAUGGGAGACCACCAGGAAGACCAGGUGCUGUAGGUG